rnacentral:rRNA from 1 species
GAACGGUGUCUUCGGACACAGUGGCGGACGGGUGAGUAACGCGUGAGAAUCUGGCUUUAGGUCUGGGACAACCACUGGAAACGGUGGCUAAUACCGGAUGUGCCGCAAGGUGAAAGGUUAACUGCCUGAAGAUGAGCUCGCGUCUGAUUAGCUAGUUGGUGUGGUAAGAGCGCACCAAGGCGACGAUCAGUAGCUGGUCUGAGAGGACGAUCAGCCACACUGGGACUGAGACACGGCCCAGACUCCUACGGGAGGCAGCAGUGGGGAAUUUUCCGCAAUGGGCGAAAGCCUGACGGAGCAAUACCGCGUGAGGGAGGAAGGCUCUUGGGUCGUAAACCUCUUUUCUCAGGGAAGAACACAAUGACGGUACCUGAGGAAUAAGCAUCGGCUAACUCCGUGCCAGCAGCCGCGGUAAUACGGAGGAUGCAAGCGUUAUCCGGAAUGAUUGGGCGUAAAGCGUCCGCAGGUGGCUAUGUAAGUCUGCUGUUAAAGAGUCUAGCUCAACUAGAUAAGAGCAGUGGAAACUACAAGGCUAGAGUGCGUUCGGGGCAGAGGGAAUUCCUGGUGUAGCGGUGAAAUGCGUAGAGAUCAGGAAGAACACCGGUGGCGAAGGCGCUCUGCUAGGCCGCAACUGACACUGAGGGACGAAAGCUAGGGGAGCGAAUGGGAUUAGAUACCCCAGUAGUCCUAGCCGUAAACGAUGGAUACUAGGCGUGGCUUGUAUCGACCCGAGCCGUGCCGUAGCUAACGCGUUAAGUAUCCCGCCUGGGGAGUACGCCGGCAACGGUGAAACUCAAAGGAAUUGACGGGGG